GCUUUACUGUAGCCUGGAAUUGUGUUCGGGCUUGGCUUGCGCAGGAUAGGUGGGAAGCACGGAGACAUUCCUUGUGGGGAAUGUGGAGCUAACGGUGAGAUACCACUCUGGCGAAGCUAGAAUUCUAACCAAUGUCCGUAAUCCGGAAUUGGAACAUUUUCAGGUGGGCAGUUUGACUGGGGCGGUCGCCUCCCAAAAGGUAACGGAGGCGCGCAAUGGUUCUCUCAGCACGGUUGGAAAUCGUGCGUCGAGUGUAAAGGCAAUAAGAGAGCUUAACUGUGACACCAACAAGUGGAACAGGUACGAAAGUAGGCCUUAGUGAUCCGACGGCGCAGAGUGGAAUGGCCGUCGCUCAACGGAUAAAAGUUACACUAGGGUAAA
rnacentral:rRNA from 1 species